CUGGAUUAUCUCCAUCAUCGAAAUCGCUCAUCUGGUAAAUGUUGUCAAUAAGAAGAACAUUGUUAAAUAUCGUUUGAAUCGAAUUCCGUUUGAUAUAUUAUCGAAUGGGAUAGAUGUAAAUUUGCUUUUGCGAAAAUGAAUGUUGCCACACGGUAUCAAACCCAUUUGAACUGCGACGCGAAUUCUUCAAAUUGUGAUCUCAUUCCGAUUUAUCUGCACGAUCGAAAGAGUUCAUGUUGUAGAGGUAGUCAAGAAGGUAAAUAUUGUCGAAGAUCAUAUUGAUCGAGUGCUGAUUGAUGCACGAUCGGAGAUGAUUUGAGCAAAAUUAUUUUUAUGAAAAUAGAUAUGGCCACACUGUAUCAAACCCAUUUUAUUAGAGAAUGAAAGAAUAAAUUCACGACGACGAAGGAACGUCCCCGACGACGAGUUUGGUUAUCCCGUGGGUGUUUCUUUAGCGCUUGGAUGUUUAUCAAUUGCUUAUGGGAUGGUUGAAGAACUUGGACCUUUUCACAUUGAGAAAGACGAGAAGACUCUUUAUUUGAACCCUUAUGCUUGGAACCAAGGUAUGUAGGCUCCAAUGAUUUCUAGUUCUUAUAUAUAACAAAACACGGCUACAUAAGUAGUGAAUAUGAUAUCUGCUCUCUUAUGUAGUAUUAUAAGUUCAAGAUCUGUAGGUUGAGCAAUAGGUUGGAAAAUGAACUGUGUGCUAAAUUCGUGCACAAAAAGUUGAACUGGUUAUUGUUGUAUUCGGCUCUGGUUUAUGCUUGUCGUUUGGAGCUAAUGGUUUUUGUACUGCAAAGCAUGUUCUAUAGUUGGUGGACCGUGGAUUGAUGUUAGAUUCCCAUGUUGAGAUAUUUGUUUUUAUCCUUUUUUCCCAUCUUUGUUGAUACUGGUUGCUAUGACAUUUGUUUUUAUCCUUUUUCCCAAAACCAUGGAAAGAAAAGGGGGUUCACAUGAGUCUCCUUGAAGAACUAAGAGACUUAAGCUCGCCUAGACGCCUGCUACUUGAAGGGCAGUUGAUGGCAUUCCUCUCUUCGGCUGGCACUCGAGGAACCACAACGACUCUGUUUGCUUGCAUUCUCUAUCACACGAAGUGAGCAUUGCACCCAUGAGAAAUAAGCCAAAGCACAUGCACACUUCUUGCCUCAGUACCUUUGACCGGAACCCUCGCAUGAUCCAAUUUUCAAGUUCAAUUAUUUUAAAAUUUGAAAAGCAGGGUUGUUCUAUUGCUUAAUCUAUAUAGUAGAAGCAAUCUCAGAAAGGAGAAUUUCCAAAUCACUGCUUCUCUUCAAAUCAAACAUUAACUUGACGGAUUUCAGUGCCAUCCAAAUACUAAUUCACAUGGUGAAGUGGCCUAGUAACAUGUUCACAAUUGCUGUCUUUUUCAACUUUUAUAUGAGUAGCCCGCCUAGAUAGUGAUUUUGUCUUUUAUUGGUUUAAGCAUUGUACUAGGUUUGAAGGCUCACUAUUUCAUAUAGGGAUAGGAUUUGCGGAGUUGUCUUUUAGGAUUCAUUCGACCAUCACGCGGGGUAUGGUUGCAGCAAAGCAUUGGUAACAUGUUAUGCUUGGGAAAAGGAUAGUGUCCUUUCUUCAAAGGACAACCAACCAGGAAAGGGGGCGUGGUUCAACAUAUGAUUAUGAAACAUAGGACAGUAAAAGGAAAGGUGUUUGAUAUGCGCCCUUCCCACUUUAGGGAUGUAGAACUCAUCUUCGGGCAAGAAGCUUUCCCUUGCUUUUUACUGUAACUGCAGAAUUAUGAAGACAAAAGGUUCACAGUGCUUCUGGCAUUCCAGAUUGUUUGAUGAAAUGCUCAUGAAGCAAAGAACCUUGUUUUUCCUCUUUAUCUUCUUCUGAUGAAGAAAGAACUUGAACAUUCCCAGGUACUGUUCACAAUCCAAGAACGAUCCGCUUUUUACCCCAGAAAUAUUACUAAAUCAGGCCUAAGCCAAUCCAAACACGUUGCCCAAUGCUGUUGCCUUUUCAUCCUCUAGAAAACCACUUCAUUCGAUAUCACCCAGGAAUCUUAGAGCCAAAGCAACUCUGCUUUCUUAUGGCAUUUUAGAGACCCCAGAUCUGUACAAUGAAGUAAUUUGAUGCGAUUCUGAAGCAUUUGAAUGCAGUAAACCAGGUUUAGUAUUCAAACUAUUUGAAUCUUUUCUGAUAUGUCUGACAAUUUUUAUUUUUGUGGAAGUAAAUGUAAUGGGAAUUCACGGUUUUCACUCUAGGUACUUGUUGUAUUCCUGGUUGAUGAGGUUCGAGAAACUUUUUACUUUAAUUCGAUGAUUCUGCGUUGUGUUGUUUCUUCUUUCUGAAUGCUACUUCCAAUUCUUUGUUUUUUCAACUUGGAC